UGGGGAAUUUUCCGCAAUGGGCGAAAGCCUGACGGAGCAAGACCGCGUGGGGGAGGAAAGCCUUUGGGUUGUAAACCCCUUUUCUCAGGGAAGAAGAAAGUGACGGUACCUGAGGAAUCAGCCUCGGCUAACUCCGUGCCAGCAGCCGCGGUAAUACGGAGGAGGCAAGCGUUAUCCGGAAUGAUUGGGCGUAAAGCGUCCGCAGGUGGCUCGUCAAGUCUGCUGUUAAAUCCAGUAGCUUAACUACUGAGGGGCAGUGGAAACUGAAGAGCUAGAGUGCGGUAGGGGCAGAGGGAAUUCCUGGUGUAGCGGUGAAAUGCGUAGAGAUCAGGAAGAACACCGGUGGCGAAAGCGCUCUGCUGGGCCGCAACUGACACUCAGGGACGAAAGCUAGGGGAGCGAAUGGGAUUAGAUACCCCCGUAGUCC
rnacentral:rRNA from 1 species